rnacentral:rRNA from 1 species
UGGGGAAUCUUGCGCAAUGGACGAAAGUCUGACGCAGCCACGCCGCGUGAGUGAAGAAGGCCUUCGGGUUGUAAAGCUCUGUCGGGCGGGACGAAAACCAUUAGGGUGAACAGCCCUAGUGACUGACGGUACCGCCAAAGGAAGCACCGGCUAACUUCGUGCCAGCAGCCGCGGUAAUACGAGGGGUGCAAGCGUUGCUCGGAAUUAUUGGGCGUAAAGGGUAGGUAGGUGGUCUCGUUUGUCAGGGGUGAAAUCCUUGGGCUUAACCCAAGAAGUGCCCCUGAAACGGCGGGACUGGAGUCCUGGAGAGGGUCGUGGAAUUCCCGGUGUAGCGGUGAAAUGCGUAGAGAUCGGGAGGAACACCAGAGGCGAAGGCGGCGACCUGGACAGGUACUGACAC